AGCAAAAUUACACGCAUAAAUAUAUAUAUAUAGAUGUAUAUAUUGCGUAGCAAAGUUCUGAAUGAAAAAUACGAGGCAUACGGGCGGACAGUACAACUGGCGAUAAAUUUACCAAUCCUAAGCUACAAAUGCCAACUUCAACUAAAGUAAACAAUAAAUAACACUGCCAUAUUGCAACAAAGAAGUAACUGACUAGAACAAGAACAACAACAACAACAACAAGAACAACAACAACCAAAACUACCUCGU